rnacentral:tRNA from 1 species
GGUGUCCUGGCGCAAUGGUAGCGCGUUGGUUUUCGGUCUUCGCUGAAACACGCCAAAGGUUGUAGGUUCGAGCCCUGCGGACAUCG